GAUAAAUCACCAGCAACAGCAGGUUUUUUAAAAUUAAACGUGUCGUUAAAGCUGAGAUAGACUCAACGACGUAUUCGAGAUGGGCUUGCCUUUCUAAUUAACACAAGAUGGCAGCGGCUCCAGACACUGUUGCAGCCGUGUUUCGAGCUUGCCCAACGUGCUUACGCAAAGAAAGAGCUCAGUUUUGAUGAGGCAGGCGACAGGCUCGUCCUUAUUGACCCAGUCUUCAUCUAGUUCAUCCUCAC